rnacentral:misc_RNA from 1 species
AGAUUCGCGGUUCCAACCACCGAGCCGGUUCUUUCACCCAAUAUUUCGUGAUGGAGAUCUACCACGUACCGGCUAGCUUUCCUCUUCCGGUGCGUCAUUUUCAAAGAAAUUCGCCGUCAACGUCUUUGUCCUGCUCAGCCGCAGUUGUCAGUUCAAGUUCCCAGUCCGAUAAGAUUGAAUCGGAAUGUCGGAACCGGAUGUUUAUUCUUGGUAUGGGAUUUGUCGGGCAAUUCUUUGCCCAGAGCCUCAAAAAGGAAGGCUGGUAAGUAACUCUUCUACUUCUCUGCACAACGAAACUGUCUUUGAACUUUUUAAUAUGCUGUGUUACUCUUCAGUCUUCAUUGUUGCUUUAUUAAUUAAGUUUGAAACGAGCUGUCACUGGGACUGUCACUGGGACUGUUGCUUUAGGGCUGUCACUGGGACUUGCACAAGCAUAAUGAAGAAGAAGGAACUUGAAAAGAGAGGAUUUGAUGUUUGCCUUUUCGAUGCAAAUGAACCAGAAUUGAGCAUUCUAAGUACUUUGAAAUCUUAUACCCACCUCCUUGUAUCCAUACCUUCUGUUGUGGGCAUUGGUGAUCCGGUGCUUCGGCAUGGAGACCUUCUCAGAAGUACACUGAUGGAUGGAAAUCUUCAAUGGCUUAGUUAUCUGUCAUCAACUAGUAUGUCUUUGGUAUUUUGCACGCAUGCAGACAUGAAUAUGAGACUCAUCUUUACAUGCUUGUAUAUGUCAUGCAUGCAUUUUAUGUUAUUUUAGCCUUUAUCCCUCUAUUUGCUAUUUAUGAUGCACAGCAUUCAGGAAAAAUAAUUGCAAAUACAUUCUGCGGGUAAGUGCUUUGAUUUCUUGGAAAUGAUAUUAAUCUAUCUUACUUAAUGUCUUGUAUCUGCUCUCAAGUGUCAAUGGCAGUUUGUUUCAAUAAUCUAAACAGAAAUUAAUGGAAAGAGACGAAAAGGAUUAUUAAUGCGGUAUAGAUUUCCUUUUUCCAUCACUAUCAACAAGAAAACCCAAAAAAAACAAAAGAUAUGGAAAUGAAAUAAAGAAUACACAUGGUAAAAGGAUGUUGAAUAUUGACAUUUAUCAUCAGUGAUGCUAACUCUGCCAACCCACUUCGAUUGACUAAUAUGUCCAUUUUGGGAAUUUCUCUGGAGAAGCUGCAUUCUCUGUUAUUGAAUAUAUUCUUGCCCCUUGAGUGAGAAGUAUCAAUGCUAUUUCAAUUUCAUCCACAAUCAUCCUGCAACUACUUGUUUUUGACUACAUAAAUCUGCUUCUUGUUGGCAGGUGUAUAUGGUAACUGUGCUGGUGCUUGGGUGGAUGAGGAGUAAGCAACCAUCUUGGAUGCAAAUUGUUAUGCGAGAUGUUUACAUCAAAUGCCACUAAUUACACAUAUAUAAUGUCCAUGUGACAGUUACCCAGCAAGCCCUGUAAGUGAGGUGGCUAAAUCAAGGUUAGCAGCUGAGGAAGGAUGGUUAAAUCUGGGCAGCAGUCUUGGGCUUUCAAUGCAAGUAUUUCGACUUGGAGGUAUCUAUGGCCCUGGUAGAAGGUUGUGGUUGCUAUCUCUGUAUGCCCAUGCGCAGUGGUUUUUGUUUAAUUCAGACUUGAAUUCAACAGUUCACUUCACACUUUUUCUGGCUUGUCUUUUAGCAUAAGACAUCCAUAGUUCCAUAUAUAUUACUCCCAGUAGUACCAUUUGACUUGGACAGACUGUUUUAUUAGGAUAAUCCUGAUAAAUUUCUUUCUGACUAAUUGAUCAUGCAACUGUCCUUGCACAUAUGUUUGUCAUGAAGCUAAAGUUUGAGACAAUUUUUCGCAGUGCUGUUGACACAAUAAUUAAGCAGGAGCCUUUUUCAAAAUUUCAGAAAAUGAGAGUAUCGAGGCAAUACACAUCCAGAGUUCAUGUUGAGGACAUUUGCCAAGCACUCAAGGCUAGCAUCUAUAUGCCCUCCAUCAGGUUAAGUUUCCAUCCAAGUCUCUUGCUAUACUCUGUUGAAUUAUAUAUAAUCCAUGCAGGUUGUGAGAUAUGUGCCUGAAGCAUCCUCAAAUAUGUCAUUAUCAGUAGAAUUUACAAUAUUGUGGACGAUGACCCAGCUCCCCGUGAGGAGGUGUUUGCAUAUGCAGAGGAGUUGAUUGAGAAGAAGUGGCCUACCUGGGUUAGGCGAAGUACAUCUUCUGAAAGAGCUAUAUCAUGUGACAAGAAGGGUAGUUCCACAGGAGAGAAACGCGUUUGCAACGAGCGUAUGAAAACAGAACUAGGAGUCACGCUUCUUCAUCCAAGUUAUAGAUCAGGAUUGCUGAGCAUUAUAGAUCAGAUGGAAAAUCCAUUUCAAUCCAGUCCAUUCCAAUCGUGAGCAGUUCUUUUGUCAAUAGAUUUUUUUCCCCCAAAACAAAUGUGAAUAAUUUAGAAUCCAGCAUAUCAUUCAAUCGUGGGGGACAAGUUUGUAUUGGCUUCUGGUUUUGUAGAAACAAGUGUAGGUUGGUGAGGCGUGAGACACAAAAUGUAUCUUGUAUUGCAUUUUGAAAAAUAUUGGAGCAACUUUUUCCCAAUACUGAGGGAAAUUGCCUCUCUCCUACAGGUAUAAGAUUUAUGCUUUUAAACCAUCCUUUGUUUGCAAUUGCUUAUGUCCCCA